GGGAUUGUGGCUCAGUGGUAGAGUGUUUGUCUAGCAUGCAUGAGGCACUGGGUUUGAUCCUCAGCACCA
rnacentral:tRNA from 1 species